AUGAUUUUAGUCCGUGUGUUUUGUUCAAAUUGUAAGAUUGUAUAUUAAAUCAAUACACUUGCGACAAUGAUGAGGGAACCUUUUUUAAAUUUACCUUUAAAACGAAUUUUAUGGUGCUUCAAUUGAUAAAUGAUCGUAAUUUAUUCUUAAACAUUUCCUACAUACAAUCCCGUUAUUAUCUUAGAUGAAGCGUCCUUAAAAUCGUUUUAUACGAAAACAAAAAAGUAAUUUAGUUUGUUUUGGCUUAAAUAAAAAAACAUUAAGUGACACUAACAUAUUGUACUAUGCAUAGGUAGGUAAAUAACAUUGUAUGUCCACCUCAAUGCCCCGUCAUUAAAAAUACUUUCAAGCGUUUGAUUGUGCUUAAGUCAAGAUUUUUGUUGAUUUAUACUAACAGAAAACAACAUCAACGUCGUCGUUGGUUAUUAAUGAAAUCUGAUAACUCUCCGAAAUUUGAAUGCUAUACUAUAGUGUUGAGUGGGUAAU